GGAGGGGUGCCGGAGCGGCCGAUCGGAACCGCCUUGAAAGCGGUCGUGGGGAGACCCACCGCGGGUUCGAAUCCCGCCCCCUCUG
rnacentral:tRNA from 2 species